rnacentral:rRNA from 2 species
AAAUUGAAGAGUUUGAUCAUGGCUCAGAUUGAACGCUGGCGGCAGGCCUAACACAUGCAAGUCGAGCGGUAGCACAGAGAGCUUGCUCUCGGGUGACGAGCGGCGGACGGGUGAGUAAUGUCUGGGAAACUGCCUGAUGGAGGGGGAUAACUACUGGAAACGGUAGCUAAUACCGCAUAACGUCGCAAGACCAAAGUGGGGGACCUUCGGGCCUCAUGCCAUCAGAUGUGCCCAGAUGGGAUUAGCUAGUAGGUGGGGUAACGGCUCACCUAGGCGACGAUCCCUAGCUGGUCUGAGAGGAUGACCAGCCACACUGGAACUGAGA